GAUGAAGAACGUAGCGAAAUGCGAUACUUGGUGUGAAUUGCAGAAUCCCGUGAACCAUCGAGUCUUUGAACGCAAGUUGCGCCCGAAGCCAUUAGGCAGAGGGCACGCCUGCCUGGGCGUCACACGUCGUUGCCCCCCCAUCUACUCCUUCGGGAUUGCGGGGGGCGGAUGAUGGCCUCUCGUGCGCCUCGUCGCGCGGUUGGCCUAAAUGCCAAGUCCUCGGCGACGCACGCCACGACAAUCGGUGGUUGCGAAACCUCGGUUGCCUGUCGUGUGCGGUCGUCGCGCAUCGAGGGCUCGAAAAAAUUGCCGGGCUUCGGCUCGACUUUCAACGCGACCCCAGGUCAGGCGGGGUUACCCGCUGAAUUUAAGCAUAUCAAUAAGCGGAGGA
rnacentral:misc_RNA from 1 species